UUCAACUCCCAGAAUUCCUCCUCCAGUCAUGUUAGCUCAGGAAUUCUGGGAGUCUUAAUUCUGGGAGUCCACAAGUCUUAAAGCUGUCGAGUUUGAAGACCCUUGUCAUAGAGCUUACCAUGAUGAUAAAGCAAUGAAUCAUGUAACCAGUUUGUGGUUAACUAUGAUACAGUACAUAAACAUGGAUGGAGGUGUCCAGGUUUGUUAGGCAUAUUCAACAGCUGCAUGCUCAAAGUCAGAAUUCUUUAUCGUUCUGCUUUAGGCCAUAAAAGCAGAAAUGCCUGUAUUUCUGAGAAAGCUAUAAGCUUAAGAAUUUAAAGUUUUGAAAUAAACAACAAAAAGUCAAAUAAAGACUUUAACACAAAUUUAUAAGCAAAACAAAGGACUAUGUGUCAGAGAGAGACUGUGUCAAUCAGAAGGAGGGAUCAAACAGGGAAUCAUCACCAAGAUACAAGAAGGCAAGGUCUGACACCACCCCACUUAAAUACCAUUGAACCUUACCUACAGUAGUCUUUCCCAGGGGCAAACUACCAGUCUGGGAAGAUUGCUAUGAAAUGGGCAUGGAACAAUAAACUAGUAAUUUGAAUUCUUCACCUGUGGGUAGAGAUGGGAAGGACUGGAAAACAGAAAAAUUGGGAGAAAAACGGGGGUCUUUUUUUUUUCCAAAGCUGUUUGGAAAAAACUCCUUUUUCCCAAUUUUUCCAUUUUUUCCCAAUUUUUCCCAGACCUUCUUGUCUCUACCAGUGGGUCUGGUCAUCAGGCAAAUUUUGGAAUAUUAGAAUUUUUGCUAUAAGAUUUUGAAAAUAAUUACCAGUAAAUAGUACCUUCAGGCGAACUAAAUUAGUCUAUUUUAAAUCAUAAGAAAUUCCACACUUUUAUGAUUUUGGAAAUUGGACACUAGAGGGCUUAGAGAUUCCAGGAAGAAAAGGAAAAAGGAGAGAGAAAGGUUUGCUUUUUGUUUUGGUCAACAUUGAAACAAAAUAACAGAAAACAAUGACAUGAAAUGUUUUAGGAAUCUUUGACAUAUGGAGUCAAAAAAUAGCAGCUACAAUGUCAGCACUGUCGUCUGCUUCUAUAGAUAAUUUUUAAAAGAUGUUAAAGAACAAAUGACAGAUGUGAAAAGAGAAUACCCUAGAAGAUCUAAAGCCUUGAAGAAUUCUGAGAUGGGAAAAAGAAAAUUUGGAGAGAGAUCAAAUAUUCCAACAAUCCUACAAUGAAAUAAAGACUAAAGUGAUUAGUAGCAAAAGGAAAGACUAUAAAGUUUAUUUGUUUAAGGUUAAAACAAGAUGUUUCCACAUUAAAAAAAAUAUUUAUGGAUUUUUUGGCUGGCAUCAAGUCUGAAUGAAAUGUUAAUGAUUUAUGAAUUUGCGCAUGCAUAAGGGAUGGGUUAUGGGAAGAAGAGAUGUAAUUAUGGGAAUUACAUUUGCUUUUACAGGCUGUUAGGAAGAUCAGAAAUGUCUAAAUAGUUUUCUUAUUUCUUCCUUUUUCUUUACACUUUUAUUCCUUAUUAUUUUUAAUUUCUGAGUUUAAUUUGUAUUGUCUUUUACUACUGUUUUUAAAACAAUAUCGAAACACAAGCCAGGACAAAAACAUGGUUUUUUUCAACUUCUUAUAAUGCAUCACAUUUCAGCCUGCCUGCAAAUUUCAACCCUUAAGUUUAAGCCUGGGAAGCAUUUGGUUUUCUAUCUUCUCCUUUGUGACAUUCCUUUGUGACAAAUCUAGUAUCACAUAAGGAUUUUUCAAUCUCAUAAUAGUUCAUUCCCCAAAGUUUUGUAGAAAAAGAAGCAUAACC